rnacentral:rRNA from 1 species
AUUGAACGCUGGCGGAAUGCUUUACACAUGCAAGUCGAACGGCAGCACGGGGGCAGCCCUGGUGGCGAGUUGCGAACGGGUGAGUAAUACAUCGGAACGUGCCCGGUCGUGGGGGAUAACGUAGCGUAAGUUACGCUAAUACCGCAUACGAUCUGAUGUUGAAACCGGGGGUCCUUCGUUCCUCGCGCGUUCUUAUCUUCCGAUGUCAGAUUAGGUAGUUGGUGGGGUAAAGGCCUACCAAGCCGACGAUCUGUAGCUGGUCUGAAAGGACGACCAGACACACUGGAACUGAGACACGGACAAGACGCCUACGGGAGGCAGCAGUGGGGAAUAUUGGACAAUGGGCGCAAGCCUGAUCCAGCAAGGCCGCGUGCAGGACGAAGGCCUUCGGGUUGUAAACUGCUUUUGUACGGAACGAAAAGGGUCUGGCUAAAAACUGGGGGUCAUGACGGUACCGAAAGAAUAAGCACCGGCUAACUACGUG